rnacentral:ncRNA from 10 species
GCUUAAGUAGCUCAGUGGUAGAGCGUUAGACUGAAAAUCUAAAGGUCGUUGGUUCAAUUCCAAUCUUGAGCA